rnacentral:rRNA from 1 species
CCUACGGGUGGCAGCAGUGGGGAAUAUUGCGCAAUGGGCGAAAGCCUGACGCAGCGACGCCGCGUGAGGGAUGAAGGUCUUAGGAUCGUAAACCUCUGUCAGCAGGGAAGAACGGUCACUGUGCUAAUCAGCAGUGAAUUGACGGUACCUGCAAAGGAAGCACCGGCUAACUCCGUGCCAGCAGCCGCGGUAACACGGAGGGUGCGAGCGUUAAUCGGAAUUACUGGGCGUAAAGCGCUCGUAGGCGGUAUGGUAAGGCAAGGGGGAAAUCCCCGCGCUCAACGUGGGAACUGCCGUUGAAACUGGCAAACUGGAGUGUGUGAGAGGAUAGUGGAAUGCCUGGUGUAGGGGUGAAAUCCGUAGAUAUCUGGAGGAACACCAGUGGCGAAGGCGACUAACUGGCACAUAACUGACGCUGAGGAGCGAAAGCGUGGGUAGCGAACAGGAUUAGAUACCCUUGUAGUC